rnacentral:rRNA from 1 species
CAAUAGCGUAUAUUAAAGUUGUUGCAGUUAAAAAGCUCGUAGUUGGAUUUCUGGUGGGAGCGAUCGGUCUGGCGCUUAGCGCGAGUACUUGCAUCGUCUCCGGCCAUCCUUGGGGAGAGUCUGUCUGGCAUUAGGUUGUCGGGCAGAGGAUCCUCAUCGUUUACUGUGAAAAAAUUAGAGUGUUCAAAGCAGGCUUAUGCCGUUGAAUAUAUUAGCAUGGAAUAAUAAGAUAGGACUUUGGUACUAUUUUGUUGGUUUGCGCACCAAAGUAAUGAUUAAUAGGGACAGUUUGGGGUAUUCGUAUUCCGUUGUCAGAGGUGAAAUUCUUGGAUUUACGGAAGACGAACUACUGCGAAAGCAUUUACCAAGGAUGUUUUCAUUAA